AUUGAACGCUGGCGGCAGGCCUAACACAUGCAAGUCGUGCGAGCGUCGGACGGGUGAGUAAUGUCUGGGGAUCUGCCUGAUGGAGGGGUCUACCUACUGGAAACGGUAGCUAAUACCGCUUACCAUCAGAUGUACCCAGAUGGGAUUAGCUGGUGGGUAAGGUAACGGCGUACCUAGGCGACGCUCCCUCGCUGGUCUGAGAGGAUGAUCAGCCACACUGGGACUGAGAAACGGCCCAGACUCCUACGGGAGGCAGCAGUGGGGAAUAUUGCACAAUGGGCGAAAGCCUGAUACAGCCAUGCCGAGUGUAUGAAGAAGGCCUUCGGGUUGUAAAGUCCUUUCAGUCGGGAGGCGUUACCGACAGAAGAAGCACCGGCUAACUCCGUGCCAGCAGCCGCGGUAAUAC
rnacentral:rRNA from 1 species